rnacentral:rRNA from 1 species
GACGAACGCUGGCGGCGUGCUUAACACAUGCAAGUCGAACGAUGAAGCCGGAGCUUGCUCUGGUGAAUUAGUGGCGAACGGGUGAGUAACACGUGAGUAACCUGCCCUUGACUCUGGGAUAACUGCUAGAAAUGGUAGCUAAUACCGGAUACGACCCUCGGAGGCAUCUCCAGGGGGUGGAAAGAAUUUCGGUCAAGGAUGGACUCGCGGCCUAUCAGCUAGUUAGUGAGGUAAUGGCUCACCAAGGCGACGACGGGUAGCCGGCCUGAGAGGGUGACCGGCCACACUGGGACUGAGACACGGCCCAGACUCCUACGGGAGGCAGCAGUCGGGAAUAUUGCACAAUGGGCGCAAGCCUGAUGCAGCAACGCCGCGUGAGGGAUGACGGCCUUCGGGUUGUAAACCUCUUUUAGUAGGGAAGAAGCGAAAGUGACGGUACCUGCAGAAAAAGCACCGGCUAACUACGUGCCAGCCGCCGCGGUAA